rnacentral:rRNA from 1 species
ACAUUGGGACUGAGACACGGCCCAAACUCCUACGGGAGGCAGCAGUAGGGAAUCUUCCACAAUGGACGCAAGUCUGAUGGAGCAACGCCGCGUGAGUGAAGAAGGCUUUCGGGUCGUAAAACUCUGUUGUUGGAGAAGAAUGGUCGGCAGAGUAACUGUUGUCGGCGUGACGGUAUCCAACCAGAAAGCCACGGCUAACUACGUGCCAGCAGCCGCGGUAAUACGUAGGUGGCAAGCGUUAUCCGGAUUUAUUGGGCGUAAAGCGAGCGCAGGCGGUUUUUUAAGUCUGAUGUGAAAGCCCUCGGCUUAACCGAGGAAGCGCAUCGGAAACUGGGAAACUUGAGUGCAGAAGAGGACAGUGGAACUCCAUGUGUAGCGGUGAAAUGCGUAGAUAUAUGGAAGAACACCAGUGGCGAAGGCGGCUGUCUGGUCUGUAACUGACGCUGAGGCUCGAAAGCAUGGGUAGCGAACAGGAUUAGAUACCCUGGUAGUCCAUGCCGUAAACGAUGAAUGCUAGGUGUUGGAGGGUUUCCGCCCUUCAGUGCCGCAGCUAACGCAUUAAGCAUUCCGCCUGGGGAGUACGACCGCAAGGUUGAAACUCAAAGGAAUUGACGGGGGCCCGCACAAGCGGUGGAGCAUGUGGUUUAAUUCGAAGCAACGCGAAGAACCUUACCAGGUCUUGACAUCUUUUGAUCACCUGAGAGAUCAGGUUUCCCCUUCGGGGGCAAAAUGACAGGUGGUGCAUGGUUGUCGUCAGCUCGUG